GAGUUAAGUAACUAAUAAGG
rnacentral:misc_RNA from 1 species